rnacentral:misc_RNA from 1 species
GAUUGAGAGAGAUAGAAGUAUCAAACACACAGAAAAUAAAAGAAUAAUCCACUUUACAGAGGAGAGAGAGGGAGAAGGCAUCAAAGGAAUAGGAGUUAAAAAGGAUCAGGUUUCCAAAAAAGCAUAACAGCAUGUGGUCAUCAUUCCAUGAGAUUUUCCAAGAAAAUUUUUUGAUUGGGUGGCUCCAACUUCUCCAGCAAACAAGCUUCAAAUGAAAGGAAAACCAAGAGAAUACAAUGAUAAUGCUUUCUGAAUGAAUGAUUAGACAAAAUGAUGCAUGGCAGCCUAGGAAAAAGACUGCUACAUGCAGCUCUGCAUCAGACCUUGAUCCUUAUACUUAGCAGGCCCGUAUUAUGGAUGGAUGACUUGGCAUUCUUAGUUGCCUUUUAUAAUGGGUGCUAAAACAGGACGACACAUUACUCUUUUAGAACUGAUUAUCACAUGAAGAUGUAAUAGGACAACACCAUAUCAAUCAUAAGCCAAUAUCACAUCAUUCAAGAAUAACACCAUAUAAGCCAAUAUCAUAAAUGAUUCAAGAAUAACACUAUAUCAUACAUAAGCCAAAAUCACAAAUCAUUCAAGAAUAUAACUUUUUGAAAGUUCAAAGCAUAAUGGGGCGAGCAAGAGAUUGAUCCUACAUACCACAUAGAAGGCACCAAGCAAC